GUCUAUGUCUUCUGGCUUUGUUUUUUUUUCUUGGACGAUUUCUUUUUUCUUUUUUGGUUUGAUGGUUUAUUUACAAUGCGUGGCUUCUUGGGGUUGUCGAAUUCUUUUUGUUUUGAAUAAGUUUGUGGUUUUUUCUCAUUGCUGGCUGGAUUUUGUGAUGGUCGUUUCUAGGGACUAAUUUGUGUGGUUUUGGUUAAGGGUGAUAUUGUGCUGCAGCAUUACGAGAAUGCAUGUGAUUUUGUGUUGGUUCUUGUUCUAUUUUGUUGGGUUUGCACAUUUUACAAUUUCUUUUGCUUACUGUAUUUCAUGAAUUAUAACUCUUUUAUGGAAUAUAGCAUUCCUUCGCAGUUCAUGUCAUUUUGGUUUUCCUUGUCUGUAAUGUUAUGGAUUGUGUUGCUAAGGGUUUAAUGAAUUUUACAAACGAGAAUUGAAUCUCUUGCUCUCGAACUUAAUAUUUCUGUCGAUUUUCUUCCGAUUUUCCCUUCCAGGAAUUGUGGGACCGCAAGUUAGAAAUGAUGGUUUCUUGUGCUAACUCAUAUAACACUUUCAGUUUUGGCAAUUGAACCCGGGAAGCUGAACAAGUUGGUGAAAUUUCGUUGUGUUAUGGGAAAGCUGUCUGUGAAGGGAAGAAUACCGAAUAAAUUCGACACAAGGCCUCAUAGCGCAUACCUUGAGAACCAUGGAAAAAUCUGCCGUGAAAAGACAGGGCGUGAUCAAUAGUAGACAAAUAAAGGUUAUCGACAACGACACUGGGAAUCAUACGAGGCCUAUGCCAGGGAUGAUUAUUUUUUGGAUUCGCUGGACUGUGAACUCCAUCAACACACUUGUCAAUGUUUGUCACUUGGCUUUUAGUGGAGGCACUUUUCCGUUUUGCCAUUACUAAAUAGAUCAGAGAUAUUUAUAACAAGGAUUAUUCUGUAUAAUUGUUUUUGUACUGGGAUAAGAGGAAACUAUCAAUCAAGUCAUCAUAUAUGAAAAGGACGAGAAGAGACUGUUGAGAAAUGGAGGGGAUUAUGUUUAAGCUUUUUGAAAAAAAAACCAAUUGGACAUAAAGACAACUGAUCCUAGAGACAGACCAGCCCGGAGUAUGUUUCUUGACCACUUGAUUUCUGCAUUUGUGUUUAUGCUUCCUUUUGGAUCUUAGCACCACUGUUGUGUUUGUUUUCUAUAUAUUUAUAGUGAUCAAAUCUCUUUAUAGGGUAUUGUGUUUCAUUUACAAUAUUCGAGUCAUUGUACAUCUCCAUAUUACCAAAUGAUGCUUUAUGAAAGCAUCAUAACAUGUUGCUUUUAGAAGAAUGUAUGCUAAUAUGAUUCUGUAGAUAUCCAUCCUAUUUGUGCAAUAGGAUUUCAUGACCUAUGCAAUCAUGAGUUUGAUAA